GUGCUCGCUUCGGCAGCACAUACACUAAAAUUGGAACAAUACAGAGAAGAUUAUCAUGGCCCCGUGCGGAAGGAUGACACGCAAAUUCGUGAAGGGUUGCAUAUUUUU
ensembl:snRNA U6 U6 spliceosomal RNA